rnacentral:rRNA from 3 species
GUUAUAUGGUCAAGCGAAUAAGCGCACACGGUGGAUGCCUAGGCGGUCAGAGGCGAUGAAGGACGUGGUAGCCUGCGAAAAGUGUCGGGGAGCUGGCAACAAGCUUUGAUCCGGCAAUAUCCGAAUGGGGAAACCCACUGCUUCGGCAGUAUCCUGCAGUGAAUUCAUAGCUGCUGGAAGCGAACCCGGUGAACUGAAAUAUCUAAGUAACCGGAGGAAAAGAAAUCAACCGAGAUUCCCUGAGUAGUGACGAGCGAACGGGGAACAGCCCUUAAGCUGGAAUGGCUUUAGAAAAACAAUCUGGAAAGAUUGGCCAUAGAAGGUGAUAGCCCUGUAUUUAAAAGGGCCACUCCAGUGAAGACGAGUAGGGCGGGGCACGUGAAACCCUGUCUGAAUAUGGGGGGACCAUCCUCCAAGGCUAAAUACUCCUGACCGACCGAUAGUGAACCAGUACCGUGAGGGAAAGGCGAAAAGAACCCCGGAGAGGGGAGUGAAAUAGAUCCUGAAACCGUGUGCGUACAAGCAGUAGGAGCUCGCAAGAGUGACUGCGUACCUUUUGUAUAAUGGGUCAGCGACUUACUGUUCGUGGCAAGCUUAACCGUAUAGGGGAGGCGAAGGGAAACCGAGUCUGAUAAGGGCGCAUAGUCGCGGGCAGUAGACCCGAAACCGGGUGAUCUAGUCAUGGCCAGGGUGAAGGUGCCGUAACAGGUACUGGAGGCCCGAACCCACGUCUGUUGCAAAAGACGGGGAUGAGCUGUGAUUAGGAGUGAAAAGCUAAUCGAACCCGGAGAUAGCUGGUUCUCCUCGAAAGCUAUUUAGGUAGCGCCUCGGACGAAUACUACUGGGGGUAGAGCACUGUUAUGGCUAGGGGGUCAUCGCGACUUACCAAACCAUUGCAAACUCCGAAUACCAGUACGUACUAUCCGGGAGACACACGGCGGGUGCUAACGUCCGUCGUGAAAAGGGAAACAACCCAGACCCACAGCUAAGGUCCCAAAUUCACUGCUAAGUGGAAAACGAUGUGGAAAGGCACAGACAGCCAGGAGGUUGGCUUAGAAGCAGCCACCCUUUAAAGAAAGCGUAAUAGCUCACUGGUCGAGUCGGUCUGCGCGGAAGAUUUAACGGGGCUAAGCAGUGAACCGAAGCUUGGGGUGCAUAAAACUUGUUUUAUGCGCGGUAGAGGAGCGUUCCGUAAGCCUGCGAAGGUGGAUUGAGAAGUCUGCUGGAGGUAUCGGAAGUGCGAAUGCUGACAUGAGUAACGAUAAUGCGGGUGAAAAGCCCGCACGCCGAAAGCCCAAGGUUUCCUUGCGCAACGUUAAUCGACGCAGGGUUAGUCGGUCCCUAAGGCGAGGGCGAAAGCCGUAGUCGAUGGGAAGCAGGUUAAUAUUCCUGCACCUCGCGUGAGUGCGAUGGAGGGACGGAGAAGGUUAGGUGUACCGGGCGUUGGUUGUCCCGGGGAAAGGCGGUAGGUUUGAAUCUUUGGCAAAUCCGGGAUUCUUUAAGACCGAGCACCGAGACGAGCCUUUAUGGCGAAGUCACUGAUACCACGCUUCCAGGAAAAGCUCCUAAGCUUCAGCUCACGAAGACCGUACCGUAAACCGACACAGGUGGGUAGGAUGAGAAUUCUCAGGCGCUUGAGAGAACUCGGGUGAAGGAACUAGGCAACAUGGCACCGUAACUUCGGGAGAAGGUGCACCCUUUUUGGUGGCUCAUGCGAGCUAUAGCUGAAGAGGGUCGCAGAAACCAGGCCGCUGCGACUGUUUAUCAAAAACACAGCACUCUGCAAACACGAAAGUGGACGUAUAGGGUGUGACGCCUGCCCGGUGCUGGAAGGUUAAUUGAUGGGGUCAGCCGCAAGGCGAAGCUCUUGAUCGAAGCCCCAGUAAACGGCGGCCGUAACUAUAACGGUCCUAAGGUAGCGAAAUUCCUUGUCGGGUAAGUUCCGACCUGCACGAAUGGCGUAACGACAGCGGCGCUGUCUCCACCCGAGACUCAGUGAAAUUGAAAUCGCUGUGAAGAUGCAGCGUUCCCGUGGCAAGACGGAAAGACCCCGUGAACCUUUACUAUAGCUUUACACUGAACGUUGAGUUCGUCUGUGUAGGAUAGGUGGGAGGCUAUGAAACUGUGGCGCUAGCUGCAGUGGAGCCAUCCUUGAAAUACCACCCUGUCGUGCUUGACGUUCUAACCUAGGUCCGUUAUCCGGAUCAGGGACCGUGUAUGGUGGGUAGUUUGACUGGGGCGGUCUCCUCCUAAAGAGUAACGGAGGAGCACGAAGGUACGCUCAGCGCGGUCGGACAUCGCGCACUGUGUGCAAAGGCAUAAGCGUGCUUGACUGCAAGAUCGACGGAUCAAGCAGGUACGAAAGUAGGUCUUAGUGAUCCGGUGGUUCUGUAUGGAAGGGCCAUCGCUCAACGGAUAAAAGGUACUCCGGGGAUAACAGGCUGAUACCGCCCAAGAGUUCAUAUCGACGGCGGUGUUUGGCACCUCGAUGUCGGCUCAUCACAUCCUGGGGCUGUAGUCGGUCCCAAGGGUAUGGCUGUUCGCCAUUUAAAGUGGUACGCGAGCUGGGUUCAGAACGUCGUGAGACAGUUCGGUCCCUAUCUGCCAUGGGCGUUGGAAGUUUGAGAGGGGCUGCUCCUAGUACGAGAGGACCGGAGUGGACGAACCUCUGGUGUUCCGGUUGUCACGCCAGUGGCAUUGCCGGGUAGCUAUGUUCGGAAGCGAUAACCGCUGAAAGCAUCUAAGCGGGAAGCGCGCCUCAAGAUGAGACUUCCCGGGGCACAAGCCCCCUAAAGGAACCAUGUAGACUACGUGGUUGAUAGGUCAGGUGUGUAAGUACAGCAAUGUAUUGAGCUAACUGAUACUAAUGAUCCGUGCGGCUUGACCAUAUAACCUCA